rnacentral:misc_RNA from 1 species
UUUCCGUAGGUGAACCUGCGGAAGGAUCAUUAUUGUAUAACCGAGGUGCUCGUGCUGUCCCUGACCCGAAAGGUCGUGCACGCCCAAGUGCCUCCACACCCAUCCAUCUCACCCCUAUGUGCACCACCGCGUGGGUCCCCCUUUGGCCCGUUCGGAGGGGUGUUUACGUUUUCACACAAACUUUGUAUGCAGUGUAGAAUGUAUUUUUUGUUUUUGCGAUAACGAAAUAAAUACAACUUUCAACAACGGAUCUCUUGGCUCUC